rnacentral:rRNA from 1 species
UACGUAGGUGGCGAGCGUUGUCCGGAUUUACUGGGCGUAAAGAGCGCGCAGGCGGUCGUAUAAGUCGCGUGUGAAAGCCCCCGGCUCAACUGGGGAGGGUCACGCGAUACUGCCAUGACUCGAGUCCGGUAGAGGAGUGUGGAAUUCCCGGUGUAGCGGUGAAAUGCGCAGAUAUCAGGAGGAACACCAAUUGCGAAGGCAGCUCGCUGGGACGUGACUGACGCUGAGACGCGAAAGCGUGGGGAGCAAACAGG